rnacentral:rRNA from 1 species
UACGGGGGGGGUAAGCGUUGUUCGGAAUUACUGGGCGUAAAGGGCUCGUAGGCGGCCAACUAAGUCAGACGUGAAAUCUUCAAGCUCAACUUGGAAACUGCGUCGGAUACUAUUCGGCUAGAGGAAUGGAGGGGAGACUGGAAUACUUGGUGUAGCAGUGAAAUGCGUAGAUAUCAAGUGGAACACCAGUGGCGAAGGCGAGUCUCUGGACAUUUCCUGACGCUGAGGCACGAAAGCCAGGGGAGCAAACGGG